rnacentral:rRNA from 1 species
AGAACGAACGCUGGCGGCAGGCCUAACACAUGCAAGUCGAACGAGAAGCCACCUUCGGGUGGUGGAAAGUGGCAGACGGGUGAGUAACGCGUGGGAACGUACCCUUUGGUUCGGAACAACUCCGGGAAACUGGAGCUAAAACCGGAUAAGCCCUACGGGGGAAGAUUUAUCGCCGAAGGAUCGGCCCGCGUCGGAUUAGCUAGUUGGUGAGGUAACGGCUCACCAAGGCUACGAUCCGUAGCUGGUCUGAGAGGAUGAUCAGCCACACUGGGACUGAGACACGGCCCAGACUCCUACGGGAGGCAGCAGUGGGGAAUAUUGGACAAUGGGCGCAAGCCUGAUCCAGCCAUGCCGCGUGAGUGAUGAAGGCCUUAGGGUUGUAAAGCUCUUUCGCCAGGGACGAUAAUGACGGUACCUGGAUAAGAAGCCCCGGCUAACUUCGUGCCAGCAGCCGC